UUUGGGCGCGGCUGUGCCCGUGGCCUAUUUUUGGCACACAGAGGUGCCUCACAAAGUCUCGCGCCAUUCCGAGUCCGGCGGACGAAGUUGGGCAGCCCCACCCCCCAAGGCUAUAGCCCACCCGUUUUUGUGGCCUUUUUCCGCUGGACGAAUUAGGCGCCCCGGCCUUCGGGUGGUUAUUUUUGGGCGCAGCUGUGCCCGCCGCCUUUAUUUGGCACAAGGAGGCGCCUCGCAAAGUCUCGCGCCAUUCCGGGUCCGGCGGACGAAGUCGGCCAGCCCCACCCCCCGAGGCUAUAGCCCACCCGUUUUUGUGGCCUUUUUCCGCUGGACGAACCUGGCGCCCCGGCCCUCGGGCUGUUAAUUUUAGGCGCGGCUGUGCCCGUGUCCUAUUUUUGGCACACGGAGGCGCCUCGCAAAGUCUCGCGCCAUUCCGAGUCCGGCGUACGAAGUUGGCCAGCCCCACCCCCCAAGGCUAUAGCCCACCCGUUUUUGUGGCCUUUUUCCGCUGGACGAACUUGGCGCCCUGGCCUUCGGGCGGUUAUUUUUGGACGCAGCUGUGCCCGCGGCCUAUUUUUGGCACACGGAGGCCGCUCCCAAAGUCUCGCGCCAUUCCGAGUCCGGCGGACGAAGUCGGCCAGCCCCACCGCCCAAGGCUAUAGCCCACCCGAUUUUGUGGCCUUUUUCCGCUGGACGAACUUGGCGCCCCGGCCUUCGGGCGGUUAUUUUUGUGCGGCUGUGCCCGUGGCCUUUUUUUUGCACACGGAGGCACCUCGCAAAGUCUCGCACCAUUCCGGGUCCGGCGGACGAAGUUG
rnacentral:lncRNA from 1 species